GCUCCGGGGCGCUGGGUUUCCACCUCUUGCGGUGGCGGGAGCGCCCAGCGGGCGUCCGGGGGGAAGGGGCCCCGCCGCUGAGUGCCGGCGGGGUGCGGUGGAAGACCCCCGCCCGCCCCACUUGUCCCCCUGCGGUCGCGCGGCGUCGGGCUCCCGGGAAGGGGGGAGACUUUGCGUCCGUCUUUGUUUAGAUUCCCGAGGGGAAGCCUGGCCAGCCGGUGGGGACAGCAGCCUCCUCCGUCCGCCCGUGCGGCUUGGCCCCACCCGCCGCCGCCUGGGAGCCGAUCCGGAAAAGCCCUGGCGGGGGGGUCGGAAAGAACCUGGUGCUCAGGGGCCCUGGAGCCUUGUCCAGUUUUCAGAGCCCCAGGGUUUCCUUGGGGGAACUCGUGGGGGGGGGGGGGUGAUGGUCUCCCGGUAAAGGUGUUCUGGGUCCCCAGGGUCCCGCUCAGAGUGUCAGCGUCUCUGCUCUCCUCAGGGAGGGGAACUGGCCCAGCCCUGUAUUUCUCAGGCUCACUCUGGUCUGGCCCAGUGACGUUGCUCUCACCUGUCACCCCAAAUGAGGCAGCGCCAAAGCCCCUAGAUGGAGUCCAACUGUAGGGAGAAUGGAAAUCUGAUGACCUGAAAGAAUUUACUUGGGCAAGAUAGCCCAGAACAGUGCUUGUGGAGACGGCUCGGCGGCUCUGUUGAGGCCCUGCCGGUGACCUUGCUCAGGGAUCUGCCUUCUCCGGGAUUCAAGCCUAUUUUUUUUUACAGAGACCGUGAGUUGGACCAGUCAUUCGGGAGAUUCAGGAUGACAUUGGGUGGGAGGUCAAGAAGAUCCUACAGCACUUCCUCCCCUUUGUCUGGGCUGGCUUGGGCUAAGGUCAUGGCUUUCCCUCAGCUCCAGGCUAUGUUGGAGUCUGCCAUGGCAUUGAACUGACUCUCCUGCCUUGAAGAAGCCGAAUGGCAUCUGCCAUGGCCUUGAACUGGAACACACGAUCCAGGAGGCUCAGCAGGUGAAAGACGAAGGGACCUUGAAAGCAGUAUGGCUUGCUGCUCUUCCAGACGCAGAGGCAGCUCCGGUCCUGCUGCCAGGAGGACAGGUGACUGGGUUUUUCCAUUGUGGUGAUGAAUUGGGCUGAGUCACCAUUCCUCUCCAGCCCCCUCGUGACCAUGACUGGAGCAAGUAAAAAGUAAAGUAAAAGAACUAGCAGAUGGGGUCGGAGGUGCAGAAGAGCCUGGGGCCACGGAAGCUUGUUCUCUUGGCAGGGAGGGUGAGGCAGGAACCACCCCCCACCCCCCACUCACACUCUCCACUCACUGUGAGCCAAAGGGCCUCAGGGGGAGAAGCGUGGAUCCUUUCUCUUCUUUUAUGGGGUUGGUUGAGUGCCUCUUUGGUGCCAAGACCUGUGCUGUGGAGUGCACUGGCGAACCAGAGCGGACCAGGUUUAUGCACUAAGGGAGGAAACCAACCAGCUUAGAGUCCCAUAAUCUAGGUACUAGGCCAAUUCUGCUAAAAUGCGUGAUUGAGGUUAGCAUGCAGUAUGGUGGGGGCCUGCAGGAGUCAGCGAGAGCUUCCUGGAGGAAGAGGCAUCUGAGAGGUGGAAAGUCAGCGGAUGGAGAUGGGAAAAGGGAUGAUGGGGGAGACACCAUCCAGCCUUCAUCCAUUAGGUCAGCCAGGCCUUCCACAAAGCUCAGGAAGGCUCAGAGCUAAACCCUGCCAGGAGUUCCUGAAAGGUAAAGGAGGUAGAGAAUGCAGGGUGUGUGUGAGCAGAAGGUGAAGAACCAGGAAGUGGGUGAGAGUGAGUAUCAGGCCUCAGCCUGGAUCUGGAAUUUCAGCGGGCGCCGGAUUACCUGCUCUCUGCUCCUGGGCCACCCUGGACCACGCAUUGGCAAUGUUGCUGCCCCCUUUCUUCCCUGCAUGCAAAGACCCUCUCCUGCAGGACCAGCCCUUGCUCUCCAGGUAACUCUGGACACCCUACCAUCUCCUCCCCCACCCCAGAGGGCAGCAGGACCCCUCCCCACCACCCCCCACCGGAAGUCUCAUCAGACACACAGAGCCUGAGUUUGUACAUCAGGACAAAGGGUGGAUCUGGCAAUAUUUUUUAAAAAUUCUAAUAGUCCUAAUAGAAUUUAAGAAUUCUAAUAAAAAAUUCUAAUAGAAAACUUAUAAGAUGCAGAAGGAAAAUUAAAAUCUCUCAUAACGCCAUUGUCUAAAGAUAACCAGUGUUAAUAUGUUAAUAUAUUGGGGGUUUAUAUCCUUCAGCAGUUUCUGUGUGUGUGUGUGUGUGUGUGUGUGUGUGUGUGUGUGUUAUCCCCCAAAGAAUCAUACUGCCUGUAUUAUUUUUGCUGCUCUUUUUUCCCCUUGCCAGUAUAUCAUGAACAUUUACCCUGA